rnacentral:rRNA from 1 species
AGAUACUGCUAUUAGGAUUCGACUUAGCCAUGCAAGUCUGAGAGUCUAGGCUUCUAGAUUCUGGCAGACGGCUCAGUAACACGUCGGUAACCUAGCCUAAAGACAGGGAUAACCCCGGGAAACUGGGGGUAAUACCUGAUAGGGUGAAACACCUGAAAUGGAUUUCACCCCAAAGGCUCCUGGAAAUUGUACCAGGUUGCGCUUUAGGGUGGGCCGGCGGCUGAUUAGGCUGUUGGUGGGGUAAAGGCCCACCAAACCUGCGAUCAGUACGGGCCUUGAGAGAGGUAGCUCGGAGAGGGGCACUGAGACAAGGGCCCCAGCCCUACGGGGUGCAGCAGGCGCGAAAUCUUCACAAUGCGCGAAAGCGCGAUGAGGGAAUCCUGAGUGCCAUCACUUUGUGGUGGCUUUUCUAGAGUGUAAAUAGCUCUAGGAAUAAAGACUGGGCAAGACACGUGCCAGCCGCCGCGGUAACACGUGCAGUCUAAGUGGUAUCCACGAUUAUUGGGCUUAAAGCGUUCGUAGCUGGUUUAAUAAGUGUUUGUUGAAAGCUGGUGGCUUAACCAUUAGAGUUGGCAAAUAUACUGUUAGACUUGGGACCGGGAGGGGCUAGAGGUACUUCUAGGGUAAGGGUGAAAUCUUGUAAUCCUGGAAGGACCACCUGUGGCGAAGGCGUCUAGCUGGAACGGGUCCGACAGUGAGGAACGAAAGCCAGGGGAGCGACCCGGAUUAGAUACCCGGUUAGUCCUGGCCGUAAACGAUGUGGGUUUUGUGUCGCAGGAUCUCCGUGAUUCUGCGGUGCCGGAGAGAAAUCGUUAAACCCACCGCCUGGGAAGUACGGUCGCAAGGCUGAAUCUUAAAGGAAUUGGCGGGGGAGCACCACAAGGGGUGAGACCUGCGGUUC